UUUUGCUUCGAUGCAGACAUCUAAUAAAAUUGAAAUAAUGCGGAGAAGAUUAGCAUGACCCAUGCGCAAAGAAUUUGUAGUAUAUAUAAUACAAAAAUCAUCAUCUC